rnacentral:rRNA from 1 species
UACGAAGGGGGCUAGCGUUGUUCGGAAUUACUGGGCGUAAAGCGCACGUAGGCGGAUACUUAAGUCAGGGGUGAAAUCCCGAGGCUCAACCUCGGAACUGCCUUUGAUACUGGGUAUCUCGAGUCCGGAAGAGGUGAGUGGAAUUCCGAGUGUAGAGGUGAAAUUCGUAGAUAUCGGGAGGAACACCGGUGGCGAAGGCGGCGACCUGGGUAGAUACUGACGCUGAGGUGCGAAAGCGUGGGGAGCAAACAGG